rnacentral:tRNA from 1 species
AGCGUGAGGUCGGAAGUUCAAGUCUUCCCAGGCCCACCAUUUUGAUCGAGUGCGGAGCAUUCGUCUUCUGGUACGGGGCCAUAGCUCAGCUGGGAGAGCGCGUGCUUUGCAAGCAUGAGGUCGUCGGUUCGAUCCCGUCUGGCUCCACCAGAUGGAAUUGAAGCUCGAGAAUGCCUCGUCAAAUUCGUCCGCGAAACAUCACUUCGCACUCAUUGGUCCGGAUGGACGGUGACGUGCGUGUUUUCUGACAUCGUAAAGAGGAGAUCGAUCCGAGUUUGGAUCUGCGAAGCAAUUCGCGGGUACCAUUCCUAAUCUCCAGAUCGUUUUCGGCGCUCGUUCAUCGCAAGAUGAGCGAGUUGUAAAACGAUCUUUGUAGCGAAGCUUGACCGCCUCGCUAUCGGGCCGAUCUUACGAAGCAAGCUGGUCUUUCUAGUCAAUGUCCGGCUGUGCGAUCGCAUUCAUCGAGGAUGCGCGCCUGAGACUUCGGUCUUUGGGCAAUUACACAGACAACAUUCUGCCGAGUGUGUGGACAUUGAUAAUGAGAGC